rnacentral:lncRNA from 12 species
AGAUCUUGCUAGCAGAAGCAUCUCACUAUACAGAAACUUUGCCAUGGGAAGGGAAGUUUCAGGGAAGUUUCAGGGAAGUUUCAGGGAAGGGAAGUUUCAGGGAAGGGAAGGGAAGUUUCAGGGAAGUUUCAGGGAAGUUUCAGGGAAGUUUCAGGGAAGGGAAGGGAAGGGAAGGGAAGGGAAGGGAAGGGAAGAAGAAACUAAGACUGAUUCUUGAGCAUGUCAUGGUUGCAGCACACAGAUUACUCUCUAUCAUUUGCAGGAAGAACUGGGAGCUGUUAUAUUUGGCAUUUGGGAGGAGUACUGUUUCAUUGUCCAGUACUUCCUGGAUAUGUUUUUCUAUUCUAGGACAUAAGCCUUUCACUCAUUGCUCUCCUAUAUCGCUGACAUUAGUAUAAAAAUUAUUCCAUCCUUACAUCAUUGCUUGAAGGCAAAUUUUAGGAGUGGGAG